rnacentral:sRNA from 1 species
CGGCAAGGGGUGCGCGCCGGGGAGCGGACGCUGCAUCCCCUUUCUGCCGCAGGGACCUCUCAUCAGACCGCCUGAGGGAAGCGGCGCCCGGAGACCCGCCCCGGCCCGGUCCACAUUCUCCCCAGAAAGCCGGACUCUAUGGGGCGGGACCCUGGGGGAGCCUGAGCCGAGCCCGGAGCCAGCCCCGAACCCCUGAACCUCCAGCCAGGGGCGCCCCGGGAGCAGCCAGCCCGUGGGCGAGCCGCCCGCCCGCCGAGCAGCCAUGAGUGAGACGGUCAUCUGUUCCAGCCGGGCCACUGUGAUGCUUUAUGAUGAUGGCAACAAGCGAUGGCUCCCUGCUGGCACGGGUCCCCAGGCCUUCAGCCGCGUCCAGAUCUACCACAACCCCACGGCCAAUUCCUUUCGCGUCGUGGGCCGGAAGAUGCAGCCCGACCAGCAGGUGGUCAUCAACUGUGCCAUCGUCCGGGGCGUCAAGUAUAACCAGGCCACCCCCAACUUCCAUCAGUGGCGCGACGCUCGCCAGGUCUGGGGCCUCAACUUCGGCAGCAAGGAGGAUGCGGCCCAGUUUGCCGCCGGCAUGGCCAGUGCCCUAGAGGCGUUGGAAGGCAGCAGCCUGGCCCGUCGGAGCACAUAGAGCGCCGGGUCUCCAAUGCAG